rnacentral:rRNA from 1 species
AACAAAAUCAUAGUCAGUAGUUUUUUUAUUUAAAAGAUUAUUGAUAUCUUCUGCCCGGAGUAACUUUAUUAACGGCCGCAGUACCUUGACUGUGCUAAGGUAGCAUAAUCAAUUGGCUAUUAAUUGUGGUCUGGAAUGAAAGAAGUAAUGAAUAGUAGCUAUAAUAAUUAGUGUUUUUUUAAUUAGUUUAUCUGGUGAAAAUACCAGUAAUUUAGAAAAAAGACGAGAAGACCCUUAGAAUUUUUAAAGAAAAGUGUAUAACAUUUUUUUAAAUAGAAAAAAUAUGAUUACAUCCUAAUUGUUUGUUGGGGCGACAAGAAAACAAAACUUAAAAGAAACUUUUCUAAUUUUAUUAAAAAAAUUUAUGAUAAUUAUGUGACGAAAUUUUUAUGAAUAACUAAAUUACCUUAGGGAUAACAGCAUAAUGAUAAUUUUAUUUAGUAUGUGACCUCGAUGUUGGGCUAGGAACUUUACCACUCCCAGAGGAAAAAGAAUGUUCUGUUCGAACAAUAAUUUCC